CCUGGUUGAUCCUGCCAGUAGUCAUAUGCUUGUCUCAAAGAUUAAGCCAUGCAUGUCUAAGUUUAAACAAACAAACAGUGAAACUGCGAAUGGCUCAUUAAAUCAGUUAUAAUCUAUUCGACGUCCUAAUUUUUAAUUACUACUCGGAUAACCGUGGUAAUUCUAGAGCUAAUACGUGCCUUGAAAGUCCUGACCUUUACUGGGAGGGAUGCAGUUAUUAGAUACAGAACCAAUUGGGGCAACCCAUUUUUUGGUGAUUCAUGAUAACCUUGCAGAUCGCAUGGCCUUAGUGCUGGCGAUGGGUCGUUCGAAUUUCUGCCCUAUCAACUUUUGACGGUAGGAUAGAGGCCUACCGUGGUGAUAACGGGUAACGGGGAAUUAGGGUUCGAUUCCGGAGAGGGAGCCUGAGAAACGGCUACCACAUCCAAGGAAGGCAGCAGGCGCGCAAAAUUACCCAAUCCUGACACAGGAGGUAGUGACAAUAAAUAACGAUGCGGGACUUUUUAGUCUUCGCAAUUGGAAUGAGUACAAUUUAAAUCCCUUAACGAGGAACAAUUGGAGGGCAAGUCUGGUGCCAGCAGCCGCGGUAAUUCCAGCUCCAAUAGCGUAUAUUAAAGUUGUUGCAGUUAAAACGCCCGUAGUUGAAUUUCAGAGCCUUUUUGUAGUCUGCUACUUGGCCUUUUCGGCGAGUAUGUCUGGGCUACGGGUUCUUUAUUUUGUUUGGUGCCCAAUGCUUCUUGUUCUGCAAGCGGUGUUGGUUUUGUGCCAAGCACUUUUACUUUGAAAAAAUUAGAGUGUUCAAAGCAGGCUGUUUACAGCUUGAAUAUCUUAGCAUGGAAUAAUAGAAUAGGACUUAGUUCUAUUUUGUUGGUUUCUAGGACUAGAGUAAUGAUUAAUAGGGAUAGUUGGGGCAUUAGUAUUUGAUUGUCAGAGGUGAAAUUCUUAGAUUUAGCAACGACUGACUUCUGCGAAGGCAUUUGCCAAGGAUGUUUUCAUUAAUCAAGGACGAAAGUUAGGGGAUCGAAGAUGAUUAGAUACCAUCGUAGUCCUAACCAUAAACGAUGCCGACCAGGGAUUAGAU
rnacentral:rRNA from 1 species